GAUCUUUUUACAAACUAUAUUCGAUAUAAAAGUCGAAUUUUCCGUCAGUAAGGUGUUCAUUCUUCUCGAGAUGUUUUCAUCGCCGAUCUCCAUGGCUCCAAUGUCGGCAAAACCAGUCCCUGGUAUAUUCUUUCUUCAGGUGCCUGUUGUAAUUAUCAUAUAUCAUCUUCGUCAAGAUAUUCUUCAUCGAUUCUCUUCAGUUUUGAUCGCGCCAAAACGGCUUACAUUGACGUAGAUCGUGCUGAACUAAGGAAUGAUGAAGAUGCAUAUCCAGCGGCGGCUGCUGGCGAUUUUAUCUAUAAUUCUCAAAUUUGCCUGGCGUGUUCAGACGAGGAAUCACCACCGGACGUCGUCUACAACCCUUGUCGGCACUGCAUCUUCUGCCAAGCAUGUCAAAGACAGUACGUGCAAACUCUGCUUGGAGAUGGGCAAAUUUUAACUUGUAGUUACUGCCGACAAGAGGUUGUCUCAGUUGACUUGAUUAUUUAAAAAAAUAUUAAUCCUCAUUAAAUUUUUAUUUAAUAUUACUUUUAAACAAAUUUAAAAUAUAAUUA